rnacentral:lncRNA from 1 species
UUCGGAGCUGGGAAACUGCUGCAUGUUCUUUGGAGGCUGUGCUCUCUGUUUUGGCCGGUCUAGGACCCUAUGUGGACUCAAUCAAUCCAAAACUGCUCUAUUUACAGCUGGUAUUCCUGAUGAUUGGCAGCAAGAGUUACCGGAUUUAUCUGCAAAGACUAAUGGAACAACGGCUUGUGAUAGCGAUCACUGUUGGCUGUGAUGAAUGUUCUGUGAUCACUAGAGUGGGUUGUAAUUUCCUCUUUUCUUCUGUUUCUCUGGACCAUACACCAACUUGGUUGCUAAUGGCCAGUUGGUUUUUACUGUUGUAAUGAUCCAAGUUCUAAAUGGAGAGAGGUUUUUAAGCCUCGCUUAAAGCAUACGACUGGAGAUGGUGGUUCCGUUUCUUUUUUUCUUCAUCUCUAGUCAAGUCCCUCUCCUCUGAUCAGGACAACAACAGUCAUUCGAAGCUUGAGAACCUAAAUCCUUUAUCUUUUUGGUUUGUGUGACAUGACAAUAGUAGAUCAAAACAUAGGCAGCAGUGGAAAAGCGACAAUAUUACCAUAAGAAAUUUAAAGUAGAAAUUCACUAUAUGGAACAAGAAAUCUAUCACUGCAAACAAUGGAACACAAUUGAACUUGGAUUUGCUAAUGUAAUUGAACACGGUUGGAAUUUCUAAUACAAUCAACCAUAGCUGAACUUUCAUUUGCCAAACAAUGGAGCAUAGUUUUAAUUUAUUUGCAUCAUAACAUUGGUCUCAUCUAUAGUCAUGGAUUAAUCGAUCUAACAUUCCCUAAUGGCCUUAGGAAUUUCAAUCUAAGUUAGCCUUAGUCACUCACAAGUGAUUUUAAAGAGAGAAGCUCUACAUUGUAUUUCACUUGUUAUUAAGAUAAUACAAUGAGGGGGAGGAGGUUUCUAUAUAUAGAGAUCUUCUCUUGAUCUAAUGGUAGAGAUUGCAUCCCCUAACUAUUAACUAUUAGUAUUUAUUACAUAUGUGUACAAUUAUCAUAUUUUAUCGUAUCGCCUGUCCCUAAGAGUAUUCUAGAAUAUUAAAGAAAACCCUGAGACUUUGAGAGAUAGGUUGAGGGUUAUUCGUUUAUGGAUUGAUCAUGGCUUUCAUUUGGAAAACCUCUGCAUCAUGUCAAUUCUUUAGGCUGUGACACCAGCAUCUACCUUCCACUGACACUACUACCUAGAAGCCAAAAAGACAGACAAACAACACCACCAUUUCCAUUCCACCAUUGUUGCUAGUCCAAGGCAAUGGAAGUGGUGUUUUUUUGUCCAGCUUCAAAACCAGCAUUGCGCACAUCAAUCCCGCUCAAUACCACUAUGCCUCUCAAACGCAUUUUCCCUUUGCUUCCAAUUGAGAUGCUUCCACUUGUGUCUUGUUUUUUUUUUUUUUUUAUUUAAUUAUCGUUUACUCCUUUCUAGCUGCAUUUGGAGAAUGUGGGCUUUCUCCUCAGAUACUUCAAUUAACUUUUUUUAUACUUUCAGUCUAUUUUCCAACACCUUCUGUUCAAUGAUCAAUCCACAAAUUGAUUUCUGUUCAAUGAUCAAUCCACAAAUUGAUUCCCUGUCACAAGAUGAGGGCUUAUGAUCAAUCCAUUUGAAAAAACCACAAUCACCAACCUGCCCAAUACAAGCAAGCAAUUCAGAUUGCAUCACAAAACAAUGCACAUCACUAACACGGAACCGAAAAAUUUGAUUGGUGAAUGGAACAGCAUGAACUCAUAAUCACUUCCCUAAUAUGUGGUGUAAAAUUGGUAGCUAUGUGAACUUGUAGCUAGCUAGACUAACUACAGAGAAAGCCGAGAUGAAAAAAUCUGCUCCUUUUUAACCACGGGUCUUAAUCUUAUUGUAAUCUUCUUGCCCUGGCAUCCAAAAGCAUAUGUAGCACAACAAAAACAAUGCACUCAGAAAAAUGAUCAUGUCAAACAAACCGAACAAGCCCAUUAGAUCCAAGUACGAUGGCCUUUGCACCUAGUUCAUACAAGUAUAAAAACUUCAAAUUUGUAUUGUGAUAAAUCUAUCUUUUGUCAUGAUUCUGUCUAAUACCACCACUAAAAAUCCUAUGUGGUUACUUAUUUGGACCGUAAAAGGUAAAAGGAGUUGACAUGGCAUUUACAAUGCAUAAAAGAUUUUUUUUACCAAGAUUUAUCCAAAUGGAGCUUUGAUUCAACCCUCCAAAUCCAGGGUUGCUUGUACCUUCUUGCGUUUUUCUUGCUCUAUGGUUAUGCCCUUACGAGAAGUUGUGCCUUUUUGGCUCAUCAAGACUCCUGUUCAAAGUUUUUGCUUCAUCGCUAUAACCCCUUAAAAUUGUGUUUCUUAGCUUUACAAGUUGUGGUUCUUUGUCUUACAUCCUCAUCAGAAGAAAUGGUCAAGGUUUGCCCCCCGAUUGGUGGAAGAUAAGGAAGACAAAAUUAAGAGAUUUUGGGAUGACUUGAGGCCAAAUAUUAGGAGCAAACUAGUGUUCUUAAACUUGAAGGGUUAAUAGGACUUGUGCGAGCGUGCCCAACUUGUAGAAAAGGAUUUGAUGGAAUUAGCAGCAAUUACGACUUUUCCGGUGACACCUAAUCAACAAGUCUUUCAACCUAACUUUUGCCGUAACAAAAGGUAUAUGCAAAUCGGAAGGUGGCCAUUUGUUUCGAAUAAAAGAAACAAUGUCGGAGGGCUUAGAUUUAUGCAGAAUAAUCAACAGACGGUGCAUUCUACAAAUGAGCCUAACGGUUCCUCCGUCACAUCCUAGGCGCUGCGCUACUUUGUGGGUUAACAAUUUGACAUCUUGAAGACCUUGCCCUCGAACUGCCUGACCAUCUAGUCCCGUAGGUGGAUACAGUGGUUUGGCUUAAUUGUCAAUUAUAGCAUCGGGUUUACAGGGCAUAUAUCCUAAAUUACGAGGAAUUGCAAAGCCUCUUAAAAUUUCUUCACCGUCCAGCCCCCAAGGAAGGUACGGUGGUCUGGCCUGGUUCUCGAUUAGAACAUUGGGCUUAUAGGGCAUAUAUGCCAAAUUGGGAGGAAUUGCAGUGCCUCGCAAAAAUCUAUGGCCGUCCUACCUCCUGGGCGGAGACAGGACUCUAGCCUGGUUGUCAAUUAGAACAUUGGGCCUAUCUGAAGUGUGUUCCGUAUCAGAUUGCACUGUUGGCUCGCAAGGUCUCACAUCCUCAAUAUUACGUACUGGUCCAACUAUCUAUACAGUUUUUAAUCCGCCAAAUUUCCAUUAUCAUUUCCAUUUCAGUUGGUCUGACCAGGUUCACCAGGUUACUCCCUCAUUGGCAUUGUUUUGGGUUGAACCAAUAACUUCAGGCAUUUGUAAAAUUUUAAUCAGUGGUGGAGGUGAAAUUAGUUGCCCUACCGUACCAAAAGUAUAUUGAGCAGAAUAGGAUGAAGGAACAUACCUGAUAACUAUAGGAUUCCCUUGCGUUGGAAAUGACUAGUUUGACAAUGCGGAUUUUGACACAACUUCAGUAAUGACGUUAAUGCGCAUUGGCUUGACCACAUCAGCAUUAUGCUUCGCCAUGUGGUUAGUCAAAUCAUUAUGUUGUUUCUUCAACCUUCUACUCAUAGUGGCCAACAGCACUGGACUUGGCUCUAAUUGUCUCUUCCACUCUUCGGCGAGUACUCUUGGGAUAUUGACUUCCCCACCUUGUUUUGUUCUGCCAUCCCUAGGGUGGUUGACGUUUAAGCAAAUCUUGUCCCUUCAUUGCUUUGUUGAGGUGACGGGUUACUAUCACGGAAUUGUCAGGAUCCAACUGAUUCCUUGUUCUAACCAUCGUAUCCUCAAAUUAACUACACUAAUUUCACGAAAUAUGCCAAAAAAGAUGUUACGCUAUAAUUUGUCUCAAUGAUAAAAUAUUUUUAUCGAAAGUCAUUCUUUGAUUUUUAUAAGAGAAGACAGGUUUUGUGGUGAAUUCGAACAAAAUAUAUCAUUGGACAUAAAGAAAUCGAAAGGUACCCUUCAAGAGAAUUUAAUUAACGUUAAAUCCUUCAAGAGAAUUUAAUUAACGUUAAAAUACACAACACUUUACCAAAAUUUAAUUGAUAACAAAGUGAGAUAAUAGAGAGAUAUAACGGUGGAAUUUAAUCGAUGACGAAGACCCGAAAGCUACAACUAAGAUAACAUGCUGGAAUUUAAUCGGCGACGGGAUUUCUAAAAACUACAACUAGGAUAUGGGAAUUAAAAGAUAACAAAAUAUAUAUUUCUAUUUUGGGGGAGGGGGGUCUAUAAUGCACAAUUACUGGUAUUUAUAAUAUUCACAAUGUAAUUCAUGUCGUCAUGACAUCUUAUCUCCAAACAGUUACUCCUUCACAAUUGCUUCCUGAUUCUAUAUGUUUAUUUGUCGCUAUCUUGACUCUCAUCGAAGUCAAUGCUCGUUCAAAUAUGUCUUCUAAUCAUGAUAUGUUGUGUUCCAUGAUCUUAUCCACGAGCUAUUCUAAAUUCGAAAGCAAAAAAAGAAGAAGAAAAAAUGUACAAUUUAUUAAACUGCAAUCUACAUGAUCAUGAUUGAUAUCUCACGCCUUAAUUACGAUUCCAUAAUAAUGAAGUGGCCCGCUGUCACCGACAUCGUUUGGACAAGAGCCGGGGAGCCGAUCCUGUCUCGAUUUGAAGUACGUAGAAACUCGAAGAAGAAGACCAACGAUUUGGGGCCUAUUUGGAACCUCUUCAGCAGCUGCUCCUCGGCAAACGCGCGGAGGGCAAUAUAACCGGAUGACUCGGCGGGCGCGAGGGUUGACAGGAAAGAUCAGAGGCUACAUUGGUCGGGGUUGAACUUUGUGCACAUGUUUUCUCUCUCUUGCUGGUCGGGGUUAAACAAAGAUUCUGCCGCUCCGGAAAACCAAGCCAAUGACAGUGUUGGAAGAUCUUGCAGCCAAUUCUGAUUGUGAUUGAUUCCAGUAGAUCUUUGAUUAGUGUAGUAAAUAGGAAAUAAUGAUUCAUGUAUAUAAUUUUUCCUGUUUUAUUCUUUUAUUCUUACAUUAUAAAUGGAUUAAUGUACUAGCAUAUAGAAUGGAAUAUAAGAAAACAUUUUCCCAAGUUUCUUUUCCCUUUCUGUCAGUGAGUGAGCACCGUUUUUGGGGAAGGCCAGUCCAUAGGUUUGACUUCUCUGAUGCGACGAUCGAUUCUUUUUAUAGGUAUUUCGUGAACUUUUAUGGUUUGUCUUUGGUUAGCGAAGUUCAUUGAAGUUGCCGUUGCUGGUUCCAUGAAUAGCGGCUUUAUGUGGUCCCCAAAAGGUUGAUCCCCAUUGUAGCUUAUCGCAUCUGAAAUGAUUUUGAUCAAGAUAAGAGGUAAGGAUGAAUAAUAUAUGUAGACUGCGUGCAUUUUAUAUUUUGACCAUUUUAUGGGUCUUGUGAGGCAUGACUUGGAUUUUUUUAGUUGCUUUAAGUGGCUAGUGUUUUUUUAUGAUUUUAUUGACUCGAUAAGGAAUCUUUUUUUGGAAUAUGCUCCUACAUGGAAUUAAUUUUAACUGAAAGGGUCGUUAAAACUGGUCUAGGUCCAAUUAGUGGACCAACCUGAUCCAAUUCUCUCUACUCAAUAUAUUUACCGAAUCCGACCAAAAAAAUAUAUAUUUACCGAAGACCAAGAUUCUUAUAACUAAAAGAAAGAAAAUGAUCUCUUCAUUUGGGGAAGUGUUCUUUCUUUCGCCAAUAUAAAAGAAGUUCUCAGCUUCAUUUUUAACAACAAUGGCGUCAUACUUCUACGGUUUCGUGCCGGCACUCUUGUGCACGCUCUAUGUCAUUCAAGCCUUGGAAUUCAAUCACUCCAAAACCUAAAAAAAUGUGAGUUGCAUAGGCGCCAAGAGGGAAGCACUUUUGAAAUUCAAACAGAGUCUCAUUGAUCCUUCGAGAUGUCUAUGGUCGUGGAUUGGCGAAGGAUGUUGCUAGUGAAAAUGAGUCAAAUGCAACGAGAAGACUGGUCAUGUCUCCAAGCUCAAUCUACGUAACUCCUGUGAUGGCUUUGAGUGUAGCUUCAAUACUCAAGCUUGGAUCCCCAACACCCAAGCUUGGGUCCACAAAGGUUGUGCCUAGGUUUAUCAAAAAUAAGCUUGAAACUUAGUUCCCACGCUCAGGUCCCCAUCAAGGCUACGCACAGGACCAAGUGUUGUGUGACUUGAUCUUGACGCUUGGGUCAGGGUCCAUCAAGAUUGGACCUUGGACUUUGGUGCUUGAACCGAAUUUUUUUAUUAUUCAUAUGUAAGUUAUUAGGGGUCAAAUAGUGUAUAAUUAUUUAAGAAAAUUAAAUCAAAUUUUUUAUAUCAAAGUUCAUUUUCAGUUUUAGUCAAAUAUUAAAAAAUAUUAACAUUUUUUCUGAAAAAAAAAGAACUUCAAUGAAAACAUAUUUUUAAAAAAUAUUAUAUAUAUAUAUUUUUGCGAAAUAAAUAGAGUUUUAGACAUGAACUUUUAUAAUAUCUCGUGUUGAUUGAAUUAGGAGCGGAUUGCCCUAAGGGACAAAGUCCCAUAGUCUUUCCUUGCCGCAAUCAUCAAGAUCAACUUGGACCGGUCAUCGACGUCGAAAUCCAAAUAGAAGCUUCUCGCGAUUCCUUUUGUUCAUUUGUUCUCAGUCGGGAACGCGUCCAGGGGUUGAGAACCGAAUAUCUCGUAAUUGGGUUUUGGUGGAGGAACGAAAUUAAAAGCCAAAACCAAAAUUCUUUAAUGGGGAGCUCUGAAGAACCACUCGAAUGCUCUCUCAAUUGGUCAAACAUGUCGGCAUUGCUGUCGAGCUCUGCGCGCGCUUUACACAAAUUUCCUCCGGAGUAGUCCACAGCCGAGCCACCCCCUCCGUCGUCACGGCGGGCCGCGGUCGUUUUCUCCGUCCGGAUCGGGCCUUGUCCACAGCUCGCGAGGCGGCUCCGUCCACGGAUCAUGCGGCCGCGGCCUGUCCAUGGCCGUGAGCCUGGACGGCGAGUUCGAGAUGCCGGUGGCCAUGGACCGCGCUCGGCCACCAGAAAGGCUUCGGAUCUCGCCAUGACCGGCUCGCUAUCCGGACAGAUCUCAAAUAUUCGGGAAGCAAAGCAGAGGAAGUAGAGGUCGGGUUCGGGAGGACGGAGCUGACCACAGAGACGGCGGAGACGACGCCCGAGCGCGUUCGCCCAUGGUCGAAGGACGCCGACGAUUUCAGCCCGGGACGGCCGGAUCUCAAGAUGUGGAGAACGACGAGACGAGGCGGAGAAAAAACAGAGGAAGCCAGCCACGCUCGCUGGGACGCGGCGGGGGAGGAGCGGAGGGGAGGUCGGGCGGCCGUGGACGAGGAGGCGGAAGAAGAGGAAGAGAGAUAUUUCGGCGGCGGAGAGAGAGAGAGAGAAGUGGGGGAGGGGAGGGAGAUUUUUAAAUUCGUUAACUUAGAUAACACGUGGCGACGUGGCGGCGUACGUGUCAAUAUUUUAAGCGGAAAAAAAACACCCGCCAGGAGCGAUGCCGCGAUGGGGACUGAUGCAAACGAGAAAAGGGGAAAAAAAAUCCUAACACGGCAUCAUUACAUCAUGAUCGCUCUCUGUUUUCGUUCCUCGCGAUGGGGGAGUGAUGCCAAUUUGCCAAAGACAAAAGGGCAAAAAAAUUCCUAACACCGCAUCAUUACAUCAUGGAUCGCUUUCUGUUCCUCACUUAACCGAACCUUUCUCGCCCUUCUCCAGGUAGCCCACCUCUCCCUCUCUUCUUCUCCUCCUCCGCUUCAUCGCACGCUCGCGCGAAUUGUGUAUACUCCGACGUGCUCCGGAUCAACUCCAUCUUCACCACCACCACCACCACCAGCACCUCCUUCUUCCAGGCCUUAACCCCCCAACACCGGGGGCCUCUCGCCCCGCUGCCCCGAUCGGACGCCGGGCUUCGCCACCCCCUAGCAGAGCCGCGGGCGUCGCCGACGAUCGAGGUCGUCUGCUGUGUCGCUGGAUACUGAGCGACGAAGCUCUCGCUGCUCCGUUGCGGCUUCGCGUCCCGGAUUCAUCGUUGCCGGGUUGCGGUGUUGUGCUGCGGCUCGCCUCUUCGGACCGGUCUGAUUGAACAGGUUCGCAUCCCGUUCCGUCUUGCUCUGCUUCGGAAUCUGGGCCCGUGGAGUUGCUGUUUGAUGUGUGUCGCCAAUAUGAGUUUUUCCAUGGCCUCUGAGUGUGUUAUUGCCACGGAUGGUGUGUUGAAUAGGUGUUCCGGUGAACUCUUGAGUGUAUGUCAUGCCAGGGUAAGGUGUUACGGAGAUAGGCAAGGUUUGAAUAUGGACAGGGGAUGUGUUAUGAGCAUAAUGGGUGUUCUCUGUGCUUUCUGGUAUAUGCUGGAUGCUUGGUUGCGAGCCGAGUGGUUAAGUUGAUCAAAUUGUUGUGUGUGAGAGAGUGCUAUGCGAGCUGGGCAAGUGAUUUUUAGUUUAGCUCUGUGCGAGAAUGAGCAAGUAUGGGCCUGUGGGAGCUGCUAAUAAAUGUAUGUGUGAUAUCCAAAAAUGAAUGGUAUAAUGUCUGUACAUGGGCUUGCUGAGCGUGCGUAUGCGUGUUGAAGUUGAUGGCAUGUUCAUCGGAUGUGUGUGCGUUGUACUUUGUGUGUGUGGUGAACGAAAGACGAUCCCAUGAGCUGCAAUUUCGAAAGUCCAAGAACUGCAAUUUGCAGUUCCUGGAGCUAUGAUCUGCAGCUCCAUAAAUCACGAAGUCGUAGCAAUGGAUUUGAUGAUUGCUCUGUCUUUUAAUAGUAACCUUGUAGCCUAAGUGUCCAGUCUGAAUGAGGAAGUUAGGAGUGCAGAAAAUUUGCUCAGUUUGGCUCACGAACUUUAUAUUAUGGUCGGCAUUUAACAGUUGCUGGUAUUACCAGCAAAAACCUUUUGCCCUUCGUCAUCUCUAGUAUUGGCAUUAGUUAAUUUAUCGCCCAUGGACAUAUUUUUUUUCUAUCGUUACACUGAUGGCUGGGGUGUUGUGUUGACUGUGCUUCCAAAGAUCUAUUAUAAACUAAAUGACAUGUGUAGCUUUGGACACUUCAGGUUCUGGUCUCUCUCCAUCAGACAGUUAUUCCUCAGCUGUCUAAUCCCAUCAUAUUUUGGUGAGUUUGCUUCCAGAAUUUUUUGUUUAUUUGCUCUUGAAUUGGACAUCUUUCAUGCUUGAGAAACUUAAGUCCUAAACUGAAAUUUUUUGCAGUGAUUUCUUGACGAGAUUGUAUAACAUUGGUGAAGUCAUCAGUGUCAUGGCUCUCAGCAAUCUCUUCACCCUCAUGACGCAAUGUGGCUUGGAAUACCCCUGCUUCUAUGAAAUGGUUAGGCAUUAUUGCAACCUUCCAUCUUCGUUGCAAAACACAGACCGAAAUUUCAUGAAAUAACCUUGCACUGAUCAUGUCUACUAUAUUACUGACUUUGUAUCAUUUCGCCAGGCAGUUCUGCAUCACAUCAAUUUUCAUGAAUAUGUGAUGAAUAUCUAUAUGGAGCCUAGCAUACUGUAAAUUGUUAUAGAGGUACAAGGUUUAGCAAUGAUCAAGGGUGUCUAAUUGGAACAGUGUUGAUGCAAUAUGUGAACCAUUGCUUUUGGCAACUUAGAUGAUGUCAAGUUCUUUAGAUGGCUGAUAUGCAAGUUUAUGUAGGAAUGGGCUUUAGUAGAGGCGGUAGAGCUAUACAAUGGAGCGGUUUGGACCUUUCCUGACGUGAAGCUGACAUUUUCUGGAUGAUUUAGUGGUUUCAUUGCUUUCUUAUGUUGACCUGCUGAUUGUGUUGAGAGACAUAUGAAUGUUUAAGACAAUGAACUUGAAAGUAGAGACAGUCUAUGCUGCCUUCAUGCUCUUCUGAACCUUUGGAUUGCUUUCUGACACUAUGCUAAUUAUUAAUUGCAGCUGCUUGUUUCCUGCUUAAAAUGCCUCCUCCUUCCAGCAUACUUGGCUGCUGCUUUUGCUAAGAAACUGAGUCGACUAGCACUCCCUGUGCUUCCAGCAGUGGCACUGGUUAUUGUUGCACCUAUCCACGAUCUCUUUCAAUGGCAUCCUACAAUGAACUGUUUGGUGCACAGGGUACAUACUUGGGCUUUGUGCUCGCGUUUAGUUUUUCGUUCUUCUUUUAAUUCUGGUCCCUUAAUACCUGUCUGGAUUUAUUUUUACUUCUUGUUUGAUAUAAAUCGUGCAGCUCAUGCACUUUGCUUUUUUUUUUUUUUUUCAAAUGUAGAACUCCAGAAACCUCCACAAUACUCAAGUUUUGACAUGUAGAUUCACAUUUUAGAUUCCACAAUUUUUUGUUGGCUAAACUUCCUUUAUAAUUUUCUAAAAUUCAAAUAAUGUUUCAAAUUUUGGAAGCAAACAAACGUGUUCUUAUUCUUUGAUCCGUUAUGUGUGCCAUGCAUGUAAUCUCACCAUCUUUGCAGUGAAUGCUGUUCUGCAAGCUCCGUGGGAUGUUUAUUCUGGAACUAUUUUUUGUACGAUUCUUUUAUUCCAACCCCACUUAGUGGGGAAAUGGUUACAUUGUGGUUCUGUGGGAUUCUUGGUGUUAGAUGGAAGAUUUUCACUAAAUGCAUUUUAGCUUCCUGGGAAGCAGUAGAAAUUUAUGAUUUGACUUGUCAAAGUAGCAACACAGAAGUUUCAUUACAUUAUAUGAAACGCUGAUGAUUCGCAGACUGUUUUGAAAUGAAGUAACCCAGGUUUUGGGCAAUGUAUUAGCUAACCCAAAAGCUUUUUAAUGUAAGGAUUUCACUUGAAAGAAAACAUUCUGAUUUUUAUGAACUUAUGGGAUACUCACUGUAAUUGAAAGAGAAUGCUGUGUGCCUCUCAACUUGCAUAAUUUGGCAAUUUUUGCAUUUUAAAUAUUGAUGUGGUUGUUGUUGUUUAUAGGAAGAAAGUAAUGACUUAUUGUGGAUGUUGUUGCCUAGGUAAUGGUAUGACGUAGGUUACAGUUGGAAUGGUGUUGUACGCUCUUUGAGAACCCAAACGAUUGGGGAAAAGCUUUCAUGUUUGUUAAAUAUUCCCAAAUACGAUUUGUGGUGUUUUACUGCAUUGAAAGCUAAUGUAUGCGGGACCCAUGCUUUGGCAUUUUGUUGGCUUUCUCUUGCAAUUCUGCUGUGUCUUUGUUGGUGUUUCAGGCAUCUCCUUCAUGAUGCUUAUUAGCUCCCUUGCGUUCACCAUCAAUGGAUAUACUUCCUCUAAAUUAUUAACUUAUGGACAUUUUGUACUGUCUAGUAAAGCCAUACAAUGGAGCGAAUUGGACGUUUCCUGAUGUGAAGCUGACAUUUUCUGGUUGCUUUUAGUGGUUUCAUUGCUUUCUUAUGUUGACCUGCUGGUUUUGUUGAGAGGUAUAUGAAUGUUUAAGACGAUGAACUUGAAAGUAGAGACAUUCUAUGCGGCAUUCAUGCUCUUGUGAACCUUUGGAUUUUAUUCUCACACUACGCUAAUUAUUAACUGCAGCUGCUUGUUUCCUUCUUAAAAUCACCCCUCCUUGCUGCUGCUUUUGCGAAGAAACUGAGUCCACUAGCACUCUCUGUGCUUCCAGCUGGGGCACUGGUUAUUGUCGCUCCUAUCUGCAAUCCCUUGCGACUGCAUUCUUCAAUCACCUGUUUAGUGCACAAGGUACGUACUUCGGCUUUGCAUCUGGGUUGAUUUUUUUGUUCUUCUUUUGAUUUUAGUCCCUUGAUACCCGUCGGAUUUAGUUCUACUUUUUGCUUGGUAUAAAUCGCGUGGCUCAUGCACUUUGCUUUUUUUCAAAUAUAGAACUCCGGAAACCCCCUCAAUACUCAAGUUUUGACACGUAGGUUCGCAUGAUAAUUUCUGAGAUCCGAAUAAUGUUUUAAAGUUUGGAAGCAAACGAACAUGCUCUUAUUCUUUGAUCCAAUGUGUGUGCUGUGCAUACAAUCUCACGAGCUUGCGGUGAAUGUGGUUUUAUAAGUUCCCUGGGAUGUUUAUUCUGGACUCUUUUUACCCCUCCUCCGAUGCUUUUAUUCCAACUCCACUUUGGGGGAAAAUGGCUUCACCAUAGACGGAUAUACUACUUCUAAAUAGUGAGAAAGGAUGGAUUGUAGGAUUGCUGCUUAUAUUUUUUGUCUGAGCUGCAUUUUUAGAAGUAGAUAUACCUUUUAUUUUGGUGAAAUGUUGGCUCUCAUGAUUGGGGUUAAGAUAGCGAUAUGUAUAAGAAAGGCCUUAAGGGUGCAUUUUCCAAAAAAUCAUUUUUUGGGGAAAGUAGAUAAUUUUCUUUUGUUUGGAGAUAUGUGGUUGAAAAUGUUUUUUGGUGUUUGGAUAUCAUUUGGUAAGUGAUUUCAUGGCAAAAUAAAAAAUUGAAAAUUUAAAUAAAUAUUUAUUUUAUAUAUAUUUUUUCCUUUGCCGGUCGCCGAGGCCCUUGGUGACAGCCGGUUACUGGCCAUAGGCGCGAGGGAGCCGGCGAAGAUGAGCUUGCCUAAGGCCUGCAACUAGCCAAAGGAGUAGAAGGAAAAUGAGAAAAAUAAUUAAAGGAAAAAUAAAAAGAAAAAUAUUAAACAUUCUCAGUGUAAGAAUGCGCAAAAUUAAUUUCAUCCUAAAAAUUUACUUUUAGAAGCACGUAAAGGUGGGGUUGCCAAUUGGGGCUUAACCACUAGGAUUGCCACCCUUCCGACAUGGAAGAGGGAGGUGAGAAUUCAAAUUUCCACAUUCUCAGGGGGAUCGGGAUGGGGACGAGUAAAUUUAGAGAAUGGGUUUCGACUCCCACGCCCUGCACGAGACAUGACAAAAGUCUGAGAGUGAGUGUAGAGUAGGAAUAAAAUAGGACUAAUAAAAAAAAAAAAUUGGGGCUUGUGCCGUUUUUUUUCUUUUCAGAUACGCGUGUCGUAUUUUUAUUAUUAUAAAAAAAAGAAGCAUUGUCUUGAAGCAGGAGUCCAUUAAAAAAACGGUGACCAGGACCAGGAGUCUCUUACAACCCCAUCAUCUACUCCGCCUCCUCCUCCUCCUCCUCCUCUCGGCCUCCGUGCUCUCGGCGACCGUCCCUGUGGCUCUCGGCGAGGUUGGCACGGCUUCGUACUUCGGCCCUCCCUAUGAUCGUAAGUCUCGAACCCCCCACUGCUCCUCUAACAAGCAGAACGGAAGGAGAAAAGAGCUGUGCCAUAUAUAACCUUUUCCUUGCAAUUGAUUCAGGGACGGAGUGCUACGGGGAGGGCUCAUCCCAGUUCCCGGAGAGCAACCUGUUCGCGGCCGUGGGAGACGGACUAUGGGACCUUGGGGCAGCGUGCGGCAGGGAGUACGAGGUCCGGUGUAUCAGCAAGGCGCAGUCUGGCCCUGGACACUGCAAACCCGGCGCCAGCACUAUCCGGGUCAAGGUCGUCGACUACGCCCUCUCGGUCGAGUCCUCGGCCGCCGCCCCCAGGCAGUCCGUGACCGGCGCUGAUUUGGUCCUGUCUCAGGCCGCAUUCGAAGCUAUUGCCAACCCGUCUGUGGAUUCAAUCAGCGUGGAGUUCAAGGAGUUAUAGCAAGAUUGGAGUCUACACCGUCGAAGUAGAUCUUUGCAGAGACGUUCCCUCCUUGUCGCUGAUUUUAAGUUUUAGAAAAAAAGCUACCAAAGAUCAUAGAUUAUAGCAAUGCCUCGGAUUCGUAUCCGUUUGGGACAUUUUUACCAUCUGUUCUGAUGCCGAUGAGUAUCGUUAAAAAUUCUACAUGGUGGCUAAGUGGACGAUGGAAUGCAAAUGGUACUAACGCGGCGCUCAUAUGGAGUAAGUGAAAGAGGAACUCUUUCCCUAAGAUAUUAAUGGAAUGGUGCCGUCUCUUCAUCUCUUUUUGUUUUGGGGUUUAGGGUUCUUCAUAGAAGUCGGUUGCUCUACAUCUCUCUUGGUUGCUCCACUAUAACUAGACAAAAUAUUGAUUGCUCCAUGGGAAGUAGCAAAAUUCAUGGCUAAAAAGUCACUUCCUGCCCGAUUCGUAGCUGAACUCUCUCUGCCACGAUUUAUGAUUUGGGGUCUAGGGUUCUUCCUUGAUUUCUUGAAACCUACGAUUGCUUUACAGAAGGAACUCGAUUCGAUUAUUCAAAGCCAUCAUAUUCUUGGCGUUCUCGAUUCAUCAACAACCUAACGAGUUUUUUUUAGGUUGAUGUGGGUGUACCUUGAUUUCCUUGUUAGGCUACUAUAGUGAUUCUGAAUUCCAACCUUGCUCUUUCCCGAUUCAUUUGGUGAUUGUUUCGAGAGUUGAACUUUUGAGCUGAUUUGCAGCAUCUUUAGGCUUUAUCCUUCUGGUAUAAAAUGUAAGCUGUCAAGACGUGGGCAGCAAAAAUAAAAAUAAAGGAGGAUUUUUAGUUCCUAAUAUCUCAUGGUUUAACUAAGUGGAGUGCAGCUAAGCAAACAAAAGGCUUUGAAUGAAUAUUUAAAUGCGAUCCCUAUUCAUUCUACUGUUUCUGAAAUGAAUUGUUCUACGUGAUAUUAGCCAUAUCCAAUUUUCCGGGAUUUAAUGUUUCUUGUGCAAUCUGUGUAUAGCUUUAUUGAGUUUGGUGAAUUGAUACUUAUCUCUUGCGUAGAUUCACUUGAGCUUGCACCAUGCUGUUACUUAAAGAUAGUUCUACCAUCAUAUAGUGAAUAUAAACAUGGGUUCUUUGCUAUUUUGUUGCAGAUGGAACGCCAUUUCUGCCAUUUCUUAAUUGACCUCACUUGGGUGGCUUUUUGGAGUUCGAAGGAAAUGUGAUUUAUAGCGGUGUGGUUGGACACUUUGUAUUAACCAUCCCAAUUCAGAGAUUGCUGAUAAGAUCAUAUGGAUAUCUUCUUCUGAUGUUGACUCCAUUGAAUCGUUCGGAGCUGGGAAACUGCUGCAUGUUCUUUGGAGGCUGUGCUCUCUGUUUUGGCCGGCCUAGGACCCUAUGUGGACUCAAUCGAUCCAAAACUGCUCUAUUUACAGUUGAUAUUCCUGAUGAUUGGCAGCAAGAGUUACCGGAUUUAUAUGCAAAGACUAAUGGAACAACGGCAUGUGAUUGCGAUCACUGUUGGCUGUGAUGGAUGUUCUGUGAUCACUAGAGUGGGUUGUAAUUUCCUCUUUUCUUCUGUUUCUCUGG